GCGCGCCGCCGUCAUGGGUCAAAAACGCAAUGCGCGGAGCGGCCUUUGCUCUCACCAGGGUCGACCCGCUGCAAGGGAACUGAUUGGAGACGCUGCGCCUGCUCAGAAGGUAGCGCAGCUGGGAAAGGCGGGAGAGCGUUAACUUCUGAGCCUGCGCGGUGGGAGUUGCUCAAGCAGGUGGUAGCGACUUGGCUUCCGGGCAGCGGGGAAAGGUACAGAGUAUGAUGACAGAGAGAGCCUACUGUAUGCCAGAUACUUAACAGAAGGAAUGUAGUUUACAUGUAAACUCUGGGAAAAGUGGAGCCAAAUGAUUACACUGUGUAUAUCCUUUAGCACUGUUUGGGGUGGGGACAUGGGGGGUCAGUGCGCAGAGAGGGACUGUUCUGGUCUCCUUGGAAGGUAUGUGCCUAUAGUAAAAAGCAUGAGUAAGAUAUCACAUCUCCUAACUCCGUAACAACCAAGCAAACUUAUAACAGCAUUUUAACUUCUAUCACCUUUUUUAUAGGAGCGGAUAUAUAUUCCAGCAGCAUGAGUAUUUUAGCCCUCUUUGCAAUUGCAGUCUUCAUUCAUUAUCAUCAAUAAACUGGCCUCUGGUUGAUUGA